rnacentral:rRNA from 1 species
AUACGUAGGGUGCGAGCGUUGUCCGGAUUUACUGGGCGUAAAGGGCGUGUAGGCGGUCUUGCAAGUCAGAAGUGAAAUUCCUGAGCUCAACUCGGGCGCUGCUUCUGAAACUGCAGGACUUGAGUGCUGGAGGGGAUAGCGGAAUUCCUAGUGGAGCGGUAAAAUGCGCAGAUAUUAGGAAGAACACCGGUGGCGAAGGCGGCUAUCUGGACAGUAACUGACGCUGAGGCGCGAAAGCGUGGGGAGCGAACAGGAUUAGAUACCCUGGUAGUCCACGCGGUAAACGAUGAAUGCUAGGUGUUGCGGGUAUCGACCCCUGCAGUGCCGGAGUAAACACAAUAAGCAUUCCGCCUGGGGAGUACGGCCGCAAGGUUGAAACUCAAAUGAAUUGGCGGGG